rnacentral:rRNA from 1 species
AGUCGAGCGAACAGGCGAGGAGCUUGCUCCUCUGACGUUAGCGGCGGACGGGUGAGUAACACGUGGAUAACCUACCUAUAAGACUGGGAUAACUUCGGGAAACCGGAGCUAAUACCGGAUAAUAUAUUGAACCGCAUGGUUCAAUAGUGAAAGACGGUUUUGCUGUCACUUAUAGAUGGAUCCGCGCCGCAUUAGCUAGUUGGUAAGGUAACGGCUUACCAAGGCAACGAUGCGUAGCCGACCUGAGAGGGUGAUCGGCCACACUGGAACUGAGACACGGUCCAGACUCCUACGGGAGGCAGCAGUAGGGAAUCUUCCGCAAUGGGCGAAAGCCUGACGGAGCAACGCCGCGUGAGUGAUGAAGGUCUUCGGAUCGUAAAACUCUGUUAUUAGGGAAGAACAAAUGUGUAAGUAACUAUGCACGUCUUGACGGUACCUAAUCAGAAAGCCACGGCUAACUACGUGCCAGCAGCCGCGGUAAUACGUAGGUGGCAAGCGUUAUCCGGAAUUAUUGGGCGUAAAGCGCGCGUAGGCGGUUUUUUAAGUCUGAUGUGAAAGCCCACGGCUCAACCGUGGAGGGUCAUUGGAAACUGGAAAACUUGAGUGCAGAAGAGGAAAGUGGAAUUCCAUGUGUAGCGGUGAAAUGCGCAGAGAUAUGGAGGAACACCAGUGGCGAAGGCGACUUUCUGGUCUGUAACUGACGCUGAUGUGCGAAAGCGUGGGGAUCAAACAGGAUUA